rnacentral:rRNA from 1 species
CCUACGGGAGGCAGCAGUGAGGAAUAUUGGACAAUGGAGGAGACUCUGAUCCAGCCAUGCCGCGUGCAGGAAGAAUGCCCUAUGGGUAGUAAACUGCUUUUAUACGGGAAGAAAAAGAGCUACGUGUAGCUUACUGACGGUACCGUAAGAAUAAGGACCGGCUAACUCCGUGCCAGCAGCCGCGGUAAUACGGAGGGUCCGAGCGUUAUCCGGAAUUAUUGGGUUUAAAGGGUCCGUAGGCGGGCCGAUAAGUCAGGGGUGAAAGUCUGCCGCUCAACGGUAGAACUGCCUUUGAUACUGUCGGUCUUGAGUUAUAGUGAAGUUGCCGGAAUAUGUAGUGUAGCGGUGAAAUGCAUAGAUAUUACAUAGAACACCGAUUGCGAAGGCAGGUGACUAACUAUAUACUGACGCUGAUGGACGAAAGCGUGGGGAGCGAACAG